GUGGGCGCUGGGAUUCAAACCAGGGUCUUCUGGAGAAGCAGACUGGAUUACUGACUCACACAGUAAUCUCAAACUCUUGUCUCUAGCCUCUGGAAUUUAACACUUGAAGAUUCACUGGAUCAUUUGCUCCUAAAGUUCGCUGAGCACCAGCUGCAAACCCAGGUUCACAUUUGGUUUCAGUCCUCAUCCUCCAUCAACUAGUAACCUGGAAAUUUUCCUGAGAAUCACUCCGCUGCUGUUUACAAACUUUCUGAAAAGAGGCGAGUUGAUUUCUCCUGAAUACCAAACCUCUGCUCUGAACCUGCCACUUGGCGGGCAUUCAAUAAUCAGAGCUCCCGCUCCCUCUACAAAUCAGCCUCAUCUAUGAUAUAAAAUUGCCUUGGCACAUUACCGAAUCAGACAGUUAAAAUAAAAACUCCAGACAUUGAA